rnacentral:lncRNA from 1 species
UAGCUGGCUAGAGACCCGAAAGAGAUGAACUGAAAGGCCUUCAACAGUUUCACUGCCAAGAGUUUUGCUUUAAGAACCCUGUUUUAUCUGAGGGCUUUUAUUUUUACGAUUUUAACUUUUUUUUUAGCCAAUUUUCUACAUCCAACUUUUGUUACACAUAAAUCAUAACUCACUCUUUUUCUCCUUUAGCCAAGUUCAAAAGGCACUCCACGUCCCCUGCUUCCCUCAUGAAGCUGGGACUCCUUGCUUUCACCUGCACUCUCAGCUAUUCACAACUGCGUACUGGGGCUUUGGGAGGGGAAAAGCAAGAAGAUGGGCAACAGAUGUUAGCUUAGGAUGCAUCUUCCCCGAAAAAAAGAAAAAGAAAAAAAGAAUUGUUCCUGACAAAAGAAGAUCUAAUCCCUGCCUCAUAUGAUUGCAUAAAGGAAGCUACCAUUAUUGAGCUUGGAACAUUUUCAGCCUUUCAUUCUGUUGUUUGGGCUGUAGAUGAGGAUUUCAGAUCCUCUCUUAUUGUCUUCCCAGGGCUCUGUUCCCCUAGGAACGCUUCGUGGAUGAGGCGCUGCUGUACGGCAGACAACUCGCCAUGUGCCUCCUGUGCCCCCAUCCAUUUUGAGCUGUGCUGCGGACGGUGAGAGCUGGACCAGAGAGCCGUAAUGGCAAGCACAGCAAGUAACAGCCUGUGUGAAGAUCAGAAACUCGUGCUUCUCUGUCGGAGGACAUUUGGGAAGUGAAUAUUUUCUCCUGCUGUGCAUUGCUGUAUCUUUCCACCUCUUGAUUUUCUACUUUAUUUAAGUAAGAUUGUAUCCUUGGACAAUUUUUAAUAUUGUCCUUUAGAAACGAGUAUUAGUCUUAUUUUCAAAAAUGAAAAUAACAGAAAUAUCUGAAGGAGAAAGUGAAGAUCAACAAAAACCCCACAUUCACAGAUAUUACUGCUCGUAGUUUGAUAUAUGUUGAUUCAAGGUUUUUUUCUGUAUAUCCAAUAUUAUAUUUUUACAUAAAUGGCGUGAUUCUAUACAUAACAUUUUGUAAACCACCCUUUCACUUAACAAUGCAUCCUAGACAUUUUUAUAUAGUGAUCUAUAUCAUUCCAUUGUAUAAUAUAUGACAUUUUUUUAAAACCCACUCCUUUUCAUGGACUUCUAUCUUGUAUGGAGUUUUCACUUUUACAAGUAAUGCUUCAAUAAAAAAUCUUCUCUAUACA